rnacentral:tRNA from 1 species
GGCGGGAUGGAGCAGUCUGGUAGCUCGUCGGGCUCAUAACCCGAAGGUCGUAGGUUCAAAUCCUGCUCCCGCAA